rnacentral:rRNA from 1 species
UGCCAGCAGCCGCGGUAAGACGUAGGGAGCAAGCGUUGUCCGGAUUUAUUGGGCGUAAAGGGCUCGUAGGUGGUUGCGUAAGUCAGAUGUGAAAACUCCAGGCUUAACUUGGAGACGCCAUCUGAUACUGCGCUGACUUGAGUCCGGUAGAGGAGUGUGGAAUUUCUAGUGUAGCGGUGAAAUGCGCAGAUAUUAGAAGGAACACCUAUUGCGAAGGCAGCACUCUGGGCCGGUACUGACACUGAGGAGCGAAAGCAUGGGUAGCAAACAGGAUUAGAUA